rnacentral:rRNA from 1 species
GACGAACGCUGGCGGCGUGCUUAACACAUGCAAGUCGAGCGGUAAGGCCCUUCGGGGUCCCCGAGCGGCGAACGGGUGAGUAACACGUGAGUAAUCUGCCCAUCACUUCGGGAUAACUCCGGGAAACCGGUGCUAAUACCGAAUAUGACCACUUCAGGCAUCUGAUGGUGGUGGAAAGUUCCGGCGGUGAUGGAUGAGCUCGCGGCCUAUCAGCUUGUUGGUGGGGUAGUGGCCUACCAAGGCUUCGACGGGUAGCCGGCCUGAGAGGGUGACCGGCCACACUGGGACUGAGACACGGCCCAGACUCCUACGGGAGGCAGCAGUGGGGAAUAUUGGACAAUGGGCGAAAGCCUGAUCCAGCAACGCCGCGUGAGGGAUGACGGCCUUCGGGUUGUAAACCUCUUUCAGCAGGGACGAAGCGCAAGUGACGGUACCUGCAGAAGAAGCACCGGCCAACUACGUG